rnacentral:rRNA from 1 species
ACGUAGGAGGCGAGCGUUGUCCGGAGUUACUGGGCGUAAAGCGCGCGCAGGCGGUCACGCAGGUCAUCUGUGAAAGCACCCGGCUCAACCGGGUUGUUGCGGGUGAAACCGCGUGACUUGAGGUCGGGAGGGGUCGGUGGAAUUCCCGGUGUAGUGGUGAAAUGCGUAGAGAUCGGGAGGAACACCCGUAGCGAAGGCGGCCGACUGGACCGAUCCUGACGCUGAGGCGCGAAGGCCAGGGGAGCGAACGGGA